CAAGCCCAGCACUGAACCUCGUGUCUCCGGAUACCGAGGAAUGUAGUGUUCAGGAGAGAGGUGGUUUGCCUGUCCGGUGAUUGUCCAAGUCCCCAUGAUCGGGGCUAGAGUCCGCAGAGGGUGUCAGGCCCGUAGUGACGCACCGCGACCGUGAACGCUUGAUCUCCUAAGAGUCGGGUUGCUUGAGAGUGCAGCCCUAAGCGGGAGGUAAACUCCUUCUAAGGCUAAAUACCGCCACGAGACCGAUAGCAAACAAGUACCGCGAGGGAAAGUUGAAAAGAACUUUGAAGAGAGAGUUCAAGAGUGCGUGAAACCGUUCAGGGGGUUAAACGGGUGGGCCCUCGAAGGUCGAACGGCAUCUACUCCCGUUACCUGCAUACGAGCCUGCGCUGGGACGAGUCGCAUUCUGCGGCCGCCGAGUGUGGUACGCUUGGGGCGUGCAGGGACCGCUAGUUGGAUGCCUAGUAGGACUCCGCAACCGGCUGGGGUGAUACGGUCGUCAGACGGGUCUUGAGGAGCGGCCUCCUUGUGGGGCUGUCUUUUUGAGAUUCCCGGCGACCACUCGGCCGUUGAGUGCUGCCUCGCUGUUCCUCAUGGAUGGACGAGCGUUUUGACCUUUGCGGGGAGAAGCGUUGUCGGUUCGUUCGAGGCUCCGGUGAGAAGCGCGGAGAGUAGGUCGGGUCCCACCCGACCCGUCUUGAAACACGGACCAAGGAGUCUAACAUGUGCGCGAGUCGUCGAGUUGUACCAAACUCGAAGGCGCAAUGAAAGUAAAGGCUAGGCUUGCCCUAGCUGAGGGGAGAUCCCGUUUCUGCUUCGGUAGCGCGGGCGCAUCCCCGGGGCGUCUAGACUGCGUUGCCAGUCGGACGCACCUAGAGCGUACACGUUGGGACCCGAAAGAUGGUGACCUAUGCCUGGCC
rnacentral:rRNA from 1 species